rnacentral:rRNA from 1 species
GAUGAACGCUAGCUACAGGCUUAACACAUGCAAGUCGAGGGGAAACGAUAUUGGAAGCUUGCUUCCGAUAGGCGUCGACCGGCGCACGGGUGAGUAACGCGUAUCCAACCUGCCCACCACUUGCUGAUAACCUUGCGAAAGUAAGACUAAUACCAAAUGAUAUCCCUAGAAGACAUCUGAAGGAUAUUAAAGAUUUAUCGGUGUUGGAUGGGGAUGCAUCUGAUUAGCUUGUUGGGGGGGUAACGGCCCACCAAGGCGACGAUCAGUAGGGGUGCUGAGAGGAAUGUCCCCCACAUUGGAACUGAGACACGGUCCAAACUCGUACGGGAGGCAGCAGUGAGGAAUAUUGGUCAAUGGGCGAGAGCCUGAACCAGCCAAGUAGCGUGCAGGAUGACGGGCCUAUGGGUUGUAAACUGCUUUUAUAAGGGAAUAAAGUGAGCCUCGUGAGGCUUUUUGCAUGUACCUUAUGAAUAAGGACCGGCUAAUUCCGUGCCAGCCGCCGCAGUAA